UACGUAGGGGGCAAGCGUUGUCCGGAUUUAUUGGGCGUAAAGAGCGUGUAGGCGGCCUGAAAGGUCAGCUGUGAAAACUCGAGGCUCAACCUCGAGACGUCGGUUGAAACCAUCUGGCUAGAGUCCGGAAGAGGAGUGUGGAAUUCCCGGUGUAGCGGUAAAAUGCGUAGAUAUCGGAAGGAACACCUGUGGCGAAAGCGGCUCACUGGACCAUUACUGACGCUGAGGCACGAAAGCUAGGGGAGCAAACAGG
rnacentral:rRNA from 1 species